rnacentral:rRNA from 1 species
GGACUACCGGGGUAUCUAAUCCCGUUUGCUCCCCUGGCUUUCGUGCCUCAGCGUCAGGAAGUGUCCAGAGACUCGCCUUCGCCACAGGUGUUCCUCUCGAUAUCUACGCAUUUCACUGCUACACCGAGAAUUCCAGUCUCCCCUCCACUCCUCGAGCCGAAUAGUAUCCAAUGCCGUUCCGCAGUUAAGCUGCGGGAUUUCACAUCAGACUUACCCGACCGCCUACGCACCCUUUACGCCCAGUGAAUCCGAACAACGCUCGGGACCUCUGUAUUACCGCGGCUGCUGGCAC